CCCGUACUCUGGUAUAUGAAGCGUAGAGUGGAAAAACCGAUCGCCAAAUCUGCGUACUUGACCCCCUGCUUAUUUUUAGCAAAUCCAGGAACUUGUGAGGGGUAACGGUUCUUGGAGCGACCAGGUACUUAUGCCUUAGACCUUCGGUACUUCCCAUAUAACACACUAUCUCUUCCAAGGUGGGCGUGAGUUCAAAAUCUGAGAAAUGUAGGACGUUGUGAGCUGGGUCCCAAAAUGUUACCAGUUCCCUUAUUAUGUCUCCUCUAGGCCUGACCUUCAUAAAUCUGGUGAGCCCUCCUAAAUAAAGGUUGACCACAUCUCUUCCUUCUUUACCCAAAUCUUCUCACCACAUGAGUAGAUCCAACGGAAUCUUGGACAUGACCUUCAUUGGUAAAUUCUGACUCGUGCUCAUUCUGCACAUUUAGAUUAAGGCGAUGGGUUAAAAGAUAAAGUGAAUCUUAUUUGAAAACUGACAAAAGGCUUAUUUUUGCAAAAAUAAAUCAAGGCUACUUUUGCGAAUACAACCUUUCAUUACUUUGGAAUGGAAGUUCUUAGGGCUACGUUCGCUAAUGGCCAAAAUUAACAAAGAAACCGUCGGUGGCUAUUUUUGCAAAGCAGCCUUCCGACAUCUCACUGGGACAUUCAGCUAUUUAGACAAAACGACAUCACCUACUUUAUUUAUAACAAAAUGACGACACUUCAUAUUUUGUUUUUCAAAAAUUUCAAAAGCGGGGUUGGACCCGAUGAGGGUUGCCUAUGUAUCCCACGUCCGGUGAGAAUCAAACCCACGUAGUUCGGCCAGUUUUAACAUGAAAAGGAAAAAAAAAACAAAAAUCAUUUUGGACUAACUCUUCUCUUUCCAAGAAACCUUUUUUUUCUUUAUUUUUCCAGGAAUCUUUUUCUUCUCUUUUUUCAAAAAUUCGGCAGAGUUUCGGGAUAUUUUGGGCACCAUUUUUGGGAAACGGGUGAAAUCCUCUAUCAUACCUCAACUUGGUUUUUCUUUUGGUUUUCCUCACUCAAUCUAGAAGCCGGUCAACAUGCAAUCCGAAACAAAUUAUAUGCACAAGUAGCACAUAAAAUGCAUCAGGUUGGUCUUUUAUUUACGGGUACGCUUGUCUUAGACGGACCCAAUCCCUGUGUUGAGUCCCCAAAGUCAAAUGCAUAUGAUGCAAACAAGCGUUCCUACUAGGGAUCCGGCAUGAGGCUGUGUUAUUCUAGGUUUAAAACCUGGGUGUAUUGUUCUAGACCAGGCUUAUCCGAGCGGACAACUCGAGGCCGGGGGGGGGGGGGGCAGCAUACCGGUAACCAAAAGAUCAUCCGGCUUUGCAACUUGUCCGAACCUCAUUCUAAAUUGGGAUAUGACACUAACAGAAAGAAGUCACGCCAGCGUGCACUCCUCAGAAGAUAGAAGAGAGGGGUUUCGUAGCAGUUUAUAUAUAAUUCAGAUAAUAUCGAAGCGGUAAAAAGCAACAUUUAGCACAUUAGGCCCAAAUAUGUAGAUAAAAUCAGAUAAUAAAUAGAGCCAAAUAUAAUAAUUAUUCUAAGCUCGAAUUCUUGAACCCUGAACUAAAGAUUCUGGGUUGGGGUCCACAGAAAAGUCGCCAGAGAUGUCACACCUCCUUUUUACUACCCCCGAAAGGGUAUAAAAGAGUUUUUUUCAAUUUAAGUGACAAUCGAAACGGGAUUAUUUAUUCAGGAUUCAGAGUUGCCACUUGGGGUAAUUUAAGGUGUCCUGUCACCGGUUCAAAUCUCGAAUUGAGGAAAGAUUGACUCUGUUUUACAGUAUGCGGACACAAAAAUCCGGGUAAGGAAUUCUGUUAACCCGGGAGAAGGUGUUAGGCAUUCCCGGGUUCCGUGGUUCUAACACGGUCGCCCAACUAUUAUUAUUGGCCUAUUUAUAUAAUUUUAAAAUAUUUUUAAACCUAUGUGCAUUUUAUUCCUUUUAAACCGUUUUAAUAAUCCAAUUGUUAUACAACUAAAUACUUUGAUUACACAUCGCGAAUCGUGUCACGGGAACUGUACCAACGAUCUACAAUAUGUUUAUUUUUAUUAAUAAAAUUAAAUUGUACCGGGUCACAUAAAUGUACCCCCGGAUUUUUUAGAAAUUAGGUGUCACGACCACGUCACGGGAACCGUAUCUGUAGUUAUGACAAUUAUUUAAUUAAAUGCGCCUAAAGCAAACUACGAGAGUGCAAGGUAUUUUCAAAACUAAUUUUGUAUUUAUGCAAGGGCCAUAUGUUAUGAAAUUUAUUUCUGUAUGGCGCACCUCAAAUUAUUAUAAAAGAAAAGGUUUGUAUAUAUUUUCUUUUGAAAGGCAAACUAAAGAUAUUCCUUCUUAUAUCUGAUUUAAAAAUCAAGUAUCACAACCACGUCACGGGAACCGUACCCGUAGUUGUAAUAGUUUAAUUACCUGUCUAAAGCAAACUACGAGGUUCAUUUUAGUAACUAAAUUAUAAAAUAUGAGGGCCAUAGAUUAUAUGAUUCAAAGGUAUGAAUGGCACGCCUCAAAACUAUUCAACUAAAUGAACUAUGGAUAUUCUUAUUAAAACUAAUUUGAAAUUAGAUGUCACAGCUAUGUCACGGAAAUCGUUCCCAUAGUUGUGAUGGUUUAAUUAUAUGUCUAAAGCAAAUUACGAAUGUCCAUGAAUUAUUUCCUAAACUAUAUUAAGAUUUAUUGCUAGGUCAUGAAUUUAUAUAAAUCUCCACACUGCCCGACAUUGGUCAUCCAAACGAAUUCAUACUCGAUGAAACCAAUUAUCAAACAGAAGAUCCAAACUAAAUUAUUAGAGAACGAACGUGUGACCAAAAAAAAAACUAAAAGAAUUAAUAAAAGUAAAGAUGAGUUUGAGCCAUUGGAAAAACCACUAACUGAUAUCUUAUCUCUGAACAAAUAGUAACCACAUGGAUUUAAUAUGAUCCUUAACAUUAUGCACAACACAUUCGAAAUUCUCAGAUUCAAUAACACGGGAAUUCUAGGACAAAGCGUGAUUAAUACAGGAAGCUUGAGAAUUCUGUUAUGCCCCUCGGAAUGCAAAAUUGAAAAUGCUUCAGAAUGUUUCCAUUCAAACCGUGUACACAUCAAUUUAAUCAAAAUGGUACUCUUAAGACUUCUCCUGACUUCAAACUUGCAACUAUUGAAGGAAAAUACAACAAUUUCAGAGGCGGGUUGGUCCAAAAUAUGCCAUAGUACUAAGUUAAAACAAAGACCAUUUAAUCAGGGAAAUGGAAUCCCAUCCUUUAAGUUUCAACAAAAUAAAAUGAUUCAACUUAAUGACAGACUAAACAUGCUUCAAAUCACUUUUAAUAAAAUAGAAGAUCAUAGCAGUAACGAUGCUUAUUUUGAAAUCAACAUCUUUGAAUUCCUGAAAAUUGGUUAACACACCAUGCUGUAUUGAAAUUGACUAACAAAACCAACCAUUAACUCAAUCCAAACAUGUAAUGAAGAUAAUUUUUCAGAUUCCUACAAUCAGAAGAAGCUUGCAAGCAAGCACAUAAUUCUAAUUCUUAUUUGUCAAUUAGGAAAUAGACCAUGAGAACCUUGAGAAAAGUUGAUUCAUUCUUUUAAACCAGGGAAAGAGAAAAAGAAAGAAAGAACACAUAACCAUGCUAAUCACUUCACACAAAAUACUCAAAAGAGCACAACUGACAUAGAACUAUCAACUUGGACACACCUCCUAUAAUGAAAUGGAACGAACAGAAGAUGGAUGAACAAAUUUGUUAUCACUAUGAAAUUUAAAUAUGUCUAUUCAUGGCUUCUUCUAAGCUCGAUUCAAGAAAAAUAAAGAGUGGGGAAAAGGAAAUCCACCUGUUAAGUAAUUCUUCUUUUAACAACAGCAAUGAAAAAUGUCGUUUACAACCAAAUCCUUCUUUCCUAGCUGCUGGAAAUAAAGAGAUGAGACCGCAACGAGAAACACAAAACACUAACAAAACUCGAAACGGAAAAAUAAUCUUCAACUCCGACGAACUCAGACCAUCCUUAAUCAAAUUCCAUCGUUGGAAAAUCAAAUCAAGAAGCCAAAUACAUGUAAUAAUUUUUUGUGUUUUUCUGUUUCUGGAAAUCAAAGAGUAAACUGAAAAAAAAACUAAAUCAAAGAGGAUGACCUAAAAUAUCAGGAAAAAAAACCAAAGACUUCUUUUUCGGAUGACAAAUUCUAAAAAUCCACUUAGAAAAAUCUCCGAAAUUUUUUUCUUCCUCCCCAAAUCUCUGAAAACCCCACUAUAUAUACUCAACUCUCGAAGCUUCUGCCCUCUUCUCCACGAAAUCCCAAAAUCUUAUCCCCAAAUCCGCAAAAACGAACCCCAAUCUCACAUAGAGCAAAACCAAGACAAAUGGAAAGCAUGGAUCUGAUUUCUCACAUCCAACCGCUCCCAUUUAACCGAGAUUCAUCCCAAGAAAUCAAAAGCGCGUGAGAAUGGCAUAAUGCUGAAAAUAUUCUGUCAGAGAACGGUUAUGCCAUGUUGGAGAGGAGGGGACCAUGUGUGAUGAGUUUGGGGAAGAACUCGUCUGAAAACUCAGACGAGUGGGGCGAUUUGGGAGAGCAUAAUCGGGGAUAGGGGUGGGUGCCGUUUCUGAGCUUGGAAUUUAGGGUUCAGCUCUUGAGGACAAUUUUAUAAGAAGUUUCGGGAACGGGUCAGGGGUUUUGGGAUGGACCUGGGCGGGUAAAUUGGGAUUGGAUUUUGGGUCAAAGGGGUU
rnacentral:lncRNA from 1 species